UCAUAUCUAAGAGUUCUUAGGUAGAAAUCAUACGGGUAGAGAUUAGGUGAAAAAGACUGUAACUUGUGUAGUUUACUGAGAGUCUUUGAACUGAUUCUAUUUAGUGGAUUUCCUUCCUGGCUUUGUAGCCCCCAGACGUAGAUGAGUUAACAAUUUCUUAUGUGUCUUGAAUUACUAUUCUUUAUCUUUAUCAUGUUUUCAUUAUUCAGAUAUUAGUGUCGUGAAAUUACCUUUG
rnacentral:lncRNA from 1 species